rnacentral:misc_RNA from 1 species
GAUGAAGAACGUAGCGAAAUGCGAUACGUAAUGUGAAUUGCAGAAUUCAGUGAAUCAUCGAAUCUUUGAACGCACAUUGCGGCCAUAGGUAUUCCUUUGGCCAUGCCUGUUCGAGCGUCAUUUACACCCUCAAGCCUAGCUUGGUGUUGGGCGUCUGUCCCGCCGUUCUCGGGCGCGGACUCGCCUCAAAGUCAUUGGCGGCGGUCGUGCCGGCCCCCUCGCGCAGCACAUUUGCGCUUCUCGGAGGCCCGGCGGAUCCGCGCUCCAGCAAGACCUUUCACGACUUGACCUCGGAUCAGGUAGGGAUACCCGCUGAACUUAAGCAUAUCAAUAAGCGGAGGA